CAUUGUAUACUGCGACAAUAACAAGCAAGUUAUACAGGAAAUCACGACACUGUAUAACAAGACCACUGUGCAAGAGGUCUCAGAUGCAAGGACAAGGUUUGAAAAGUCUACGAAAGAAAUACUUCAAAAGUAGCACAUUUUUGUACUGACUUGUUGGGAAUGCCAACAAAACUGUCUUUAGCAAUGAUGAUACAGUAUACAGUACCAGCAUAGUACUGUAUUAGCUUAAAUUGCUUCAUCAGGAUGCUUAAAUACAAAGCCAAUUAGAGAAUUUAUUGGAUGCUCUUCACAGAAUGUAAACUUUCUUACAGGAAACAUGGAGAAGAUGAUUUUAAAGGUCUUUAAAAUGGUUCUCAGUACAGUGAUCAAAGUGCUACUUAUUAAAACAGAACCAUCUACAGCGAUCUGGGUGACUGAGAAGCGGCACGGCAUUUCUCGCUGAAGAAUUCACAGACAAAGGGCCAGAAGGAAUAUAAAGAUCAUCAAUUAGUAUUUUAGAUUCCUCCCUCCCAACGAGUUGCUGUUAUCUUGGAAAACGGAGUAGUUAUAUGAGAAUCACAGGGCAUCACACAACAGAACUUCCGCAACUGCAGAAUUCAAACCCUUCCGUUUGAUUAGGGUAAAUCACUGCUCUGCUCCAGACACACACUUCUGAUACCAUUUCUGGCACCAAAGCCGUAACAUAUGGAGGUGCUGGUAGCAAGGGAAUACCAUACGAGGAACGAACCACUCCGAAAAGCAGACCCUUUCCUUUGCGCAUCCAGACGUAUCAAAGGGCACGACUGCGGGCGGCUCCUCGCCGCUCCGCUUCCACUCUGCCAAACCCGUCACGUUUGAAGGCGUACCCGGGGAGCUGCUGCAGCGCCGCAGCGGGGUCCGGACCUGCGGAAGCGCCGACACCACCACGGCAACAGAAGAUAAUUCUUUGGUGUAGAUGCACUCCAGCGGCUCCAUCGAGGUAACCCCCCUCAGAGAGAGAUGGACCCGCACUGUUCUGCCAGGCAUGUUGACCCUGGCUCUUUAGAAGCUCCAUGUACUCUUUAUCUGCUUGCCUUCUAUUCUGGUUUGGUUCUUUUUCCAAAUAGAUUUUAACUCUAAGUGUCACCAUAUCAAGUGAUUGUGGUUUGGGAUGAUUUUUUUUUUUUUUUGGGUCGCACAAUCAUUUUAAAGAAACUUAAUGUUUUGAAGAUAGAAUGGAGUACUGCCCUAUCUAUUUUCAAGAGGAUCAGUAAAUACAACCACAGUACAAACCCUUACAUUAGCAGAAGACUUAUAAUGUAAACUUUAAGAAAGACAGGUCUUUGCACAUUGCAUGAAAUUAUUCAAGAUUAAGUUCUAGUUGAACGACCAAACAAUAUUCAUCUUGCUUAUUACCUUUCUUCUGCUGAAUACUAAAAUAUGCAUGUAAUUACACCUUUUUAACAGUAAUACUUCCACUUUUUAACUAAGAAAAAUAAUUUUCAAAAUUUUAUUCAUGGGUUCCAUUGUUUGGUCUGGCAUGUGCUGGUGAGCAUAUUGCUUUUUUAAAUCAAACACAGAAUAGCUAGGACAUUGAAUGCUCCCUAAACUGUCCCACCAACUUUGUGUGUUGCAUGAGCCUUUAUUCAAUCCAGAAUGAAAUCUUAAAAGGAAGUUACAAUUUGUUUGCAUGUAUCAUUCUUCAAUAAAUAAACCAUAGUCAAUUAGGUAAGUACGAAAUGAGACAGCUAUUGUUAUUUUUCUGUUGCUCAGGCUUUAACCAUAGCAUCCCACUGAAAUAAAAUAUAGUGACACUAUUAAGUUUAUUUGGAGCAAAAAAAGGGCCAAAAUUAGGUGCAAUGCUACUUUAUUCCUGAUGUAUAACAAUAUCAUUUGUUUAAUAGGUCCUCCCAGGAAAAUUUGUCUUUGUGUGGGAUGUACCUUUCAGAUAGUUUUUAACAUAUAGACCACUAUUCUCAAGUAGAAAUAAAUUUUCAGUUAUAUUCAGAUUUUGUCAGGUCCUUGGGGUCUAUAGAAAGUAAAUGAUAGCUACUAAACAUCAUUCUACCUUAGUUCUUGCCUGUAUUUGCAUGGGCAUACUUAUGGCAACACAGCCGUAUGCACAAACUUAGCUCUCUCAGUUGACAUACAACGCAUCUGUAAUGGGAAUUUGCAUCACAGGAACAUAAUGAACUCUUGUGUGCAGUAGCUGGUGACUGAUGAAGAGCCAUGCAGGCAUAGUUCUAGUAAAUAGUGAAGCAAACUGUUAGGAGUUGGACCACACUAGUGUUCUUUUGCAUAUACCUCCUAGUAAGUCUAGGAAGCUAAUUAGAAAGACAUCAGCAAUUAGUAUUUACUCUUUUCUUCUUUUUGUUUAUAACAAAGUAGGACAGAAAAUCAUUUCAUGGAUUCUACAAUGAGGAAAUCAUGUGACCUCUCCAACCUCUUCCCAGAAAAAGAGGGUAGCAAAGUAUUAAUUAUUAAUAAUAAUUAAUAAUUUCCUUAGUGUGAAUUACAUUGUGCGCAGUGACCACACGAUGUUUUAAGUUAUGUGAUAGCUUCAUUAGUGUAAGUGGUGUGGCCACUGAUGUUAUCUUGAGACAUGCUGUCUUUAAAAUAUGAGAAAAGAUAAUCUGUUGUGUAUUUCAAGUCUAACUAUGUUAGUAAACUACAAACAAUUUACAAACAUUUAUCUACGUGAUUUUAAAUAAAAAUUGCAAGCAGUUUUUUAAAGCAUAAAUUUUCUUCAAAAGACCAUUAUGAUCACAAAAUCCAUAAGUUAAAAAAAAAACAAACUGUCUGAAAACUCUUAAGGAGACGAUGAAGAGGAUCUAAAAAAACCCACAUUUUAUGUUCUCCAGUAUUAAUAUAUAGAAAUAUUUCAUUUCUCAGGCCAAUUUAUAAUACGGUUGAAGUAUCAAUAUUGAAUGAGAUGUCUGCCUUGCUGAUUUACUUAAAUAAAUAAAAUAUUAAUAUUAAUGAUGUACUGCUUAGAUUGAUUAGAAAACAUAAAGGAGAAGUGAACUCAGAAAAAAAGUCUUUACAAAAAUAUCAGGGGCACAAAAAGCAAGUAUAUGUGUCCAUUAAAUCAUUCAUCAGGCUGCUGUUGGGGAUGCAGUCUUUUAAAAUAGUAAUGGGAACAGGAUCCAUCAAAUGAAAUGAGUCUGAUAUUGCUCUAUCUGAGUCACAAAUACUGACUUCGCUGUGAGAAGGAUACUGUCUAUGAAACACAUUUGACAAAGUUUAUGGCACAGAUCUAUUUAAUCCCUACCAGAAAACAUGCAUUCAUAACAAUAAUUGUUUAAUUUCAUUACUGUGGGUAUUAUAUUUUAGUAUGGGAAUUGGUAUUGCAUGCCCCACUGGAGACUGGGUAGAAUAUAUAUUUUAGGAACCUAAAGGAAUCCUGUGAGGGAGGACUCAGGAAUAUUUAUAUAUUUUAUAUUAAUGCUUCAAAAAUUCCAUCUAUCAGCUUAGAAUAAAACAUAAAAAGAGACAAAGAAACCUUUUCAUAAGUACUAACUUGAUUAAAAAUUUAAUAAAUUUCUUCUUUUAUAGCCUUUUCAUUAUUACAGCAUAAUUUUCUGAAUGCAUAUUCAUGUAUAUAUCUGCAUACAUAGACACAAUAUUAUACUUUUCAUUAGAGAAUUUCCUCAAAUUUUAAGUUAAAAAAACCCACUAAUUACAAUCUUCCCUUUUAAAGAAUGGUAAUAACUAUUAUAGAUCAAAUUUUAUUCUCUGUGUGUAAACCAAGAGUAAUCCAUUGCCUUAAGUGGAAUUAAACUGUAGAAAACCAAUUUGAGAUCAAGGGUAACUAUGAUCCUAAUUGAUGUAGCUGCUAAUCUAAAUAUAUUAAGUAUGUGGUUAUGCAUUCUGUCUUUAUCUAACUAGGGAUGGAUCACUAUCAUCUUCUUUUCUCAUGGAACUCUUUAUAAUAGCAUGCUUUUUUACUGCAUUUCCAGAAGUUACACUAGAAGAAGCAUAGUUAAAUAUAACACACUUCUCUGCCAUCACCUCAACAUAAAAAUUAUACUUGAAAAGUCAGAUGGCCUAACUCUGCAGUCACUUCUGUUACUGGAGGUAACACCACUCAUGUUGUUAUGCAGAGUUAAAAUUAGGAACUGUCUCUCAACUUUUGCAUUUGAAAUUUAUUCUUGUUUUUAUUAUUAUGCUGAAAAGUACAGAAUAUCAGUUUCACUUACUGAAACAUUCAUGUUGGCAAGAAUGGUGCAUAGAUUUACACUUUAAAGGUUAUUAGGGAAAGUCUUCCCUGGGGAUAUACUUCAUAACUGUUAUUGCUAUUGGAGGUUACACAUGUGUGUAGAAGAGAAAGUAUGCCCCGUAAGGUAAAACAGAGUAAAAAAAAUCAUAAAAGGUAUGUUAAUUAUUUAUAACUACAAAACAAAAUACUUUAAAUUAUGGCAAAUUAAAAGGACAUUUAUUUACAUACAAACAGGAUUGUUUAAAGCACAGGCCUUGCCCAUAGCAUAGAAGUGAAGCCAAAUAAGUGACAAAGUAUAUUAACCUUGUCGUAGAUUUUUCAGACACAUAAUACCUAUAAGGAGUGUCUGGUUUUGUCAGAUUAAGGCUUGUUUUUUUUUUUUUUUUCAAAUGUUGAAUUUUGCCAAAGGCUGCCACAUGUUUGACAGACGCCACUCUCAGACAACAUAAUUUAAAAACGUUUUUUCAGAAGUCCCUCAAGGGACACAGUCCAGAGCAACAUGUGAUCUGGAGUACUUGUAAAUGUAACAGUUGUACCAGUAUUUAAAAACACAAUGCAAUAUCUCAUUAGUAAUUUUUGUGUUAGAAAAACUGGUAGGUCCUAUAUGACAUUUCCUUUAGUUCUAAAAUCUUCAGAAUGGAAGGAACUGACCUGACUAGUUCAUGAGUUUAACUAACAGCUGAUCUUGUUAAUUUUGAGUAUUGAAAAUGCUAUCACCUCUCUCCAAAAUAUUUGAGGUGUCAGAACAGCUAUAUAAAUUUAUCUGGAAAAAAAUGGACUGUAAUUAACCAGUUUUACAGGCAGGUAAACUACAGUACAUUAGAUGGGAGGGAGCAAUGUUGAUAGGAAGAAAAGGAAACGAUUCUCUGGCAGAAGAGAAUAAAAGCUCUUGAAGAUGAAUUGGUGAAACUGAAGUAAAGCACAGCAAUGUGUAUAGAUAAAUUUUUUAUAUGGCUCUGCAGUUUAUCCAAAUACCUUGUAUUUGUGUCUCUGUGCACUAUUUAGUUAAUCAGUGUAUCUGACAUCUUGCCCAUUUCCAGUGUAUGAUGCAGAUGACAUUAAAGAGUGCACAUUGUCUUCAAGUCUUUGCUUCUGACACAAACUGUGAAACUGGAGAGGUGUUUUACUUUCAGUGGUUUUCAGAGUUAAAAUCUUAGGAAAAAUUUUUGCAGUCUUGAGCCUUUUAUUCCCAGGAACACUCCUGAUACCACCUACUGUGGAUAAAUAGUUCCCUACAAAUCAGACCAUUAAAAAUGGUAUCAACCCUCCACACUCUCCCAGUCAUGCACCAGUAUUCAAGCUGUAGUCUGUUUGAGAGGCAAUGAAGUUUUACAGAUGGCUUUGCCAAGUCAGUGUGUACAGAGAGACUAAGCAAGCAGCUCUGCUCCAUGACCUUCCACCUAUGCUUCUCUAAAGGGUCUGUUUCAACAUGGCUCUGCAUGUUCUUUCUCAGUUUUGACUUACAUGUAGAGAAGAGGCUGAAAUGUACAUCUAUGUCCUUCUUCUAUCUUAUUUAUGAUGUAGCUGAACUUUGGUUUAGGACUAAAGCUAUUAGUAUUACUACUAUUAUUAACUGCCAUUAAUACUAUUAAUAUAUAGAUGAGUUGAAAAUGUGAUUAUGACAGACUAGGAAUUACCAAUAUGUUGGUAUCAGUAUGGAGAGUAUGAGUCCAAAAUCCAAACAUGCCAAGUAUAUAUCCCUCUGCCUGUGAACUUGUAAAUUACGUAUUGCUCAUUCACAUCAGACCAGUCAUUUAUGGAUAGCCGGUGACAUUGGCAAAGGAAAUAGCUGUGCUCUCUUGAAGAGGCUACACAGAAAAAAGGCUUUAUUAGCUAUUAUACCUGUCAUCCUCUUUAAUGCUAUUUUAUAUAGCAAGAUCAGCACCUGUGAAAACCAGAAAAGCUGGGGGAACCUUUCCCUUAUUAAGAAUAUAUCCUAUUCAGCGAGCUGGAUGGAAGGAGGAAACUUCUGAUGCUUUGUGCUAUAGACUGUUGGCCCUGAUGUGAAUGAGCAUGUCGGUAAUUGGCUGAAUUUUUAGAGUCUUUGGCAGAUUUGCUGAUGUAAAAAUGCUUAAAAUUUCCUUUGAUUCAUUGACUGUCUUGCCUUCCUCUAUUCCUACUCAGCUGCUGCAAGAGAGUUCACCAUUCCUACACACCACUCAGAAAGUACUAAGAAAAAAAUGAAAAAAUACAGAGAGAAAAGAGAUUUCAAAUAACCAGAAAAUGUAAAAAAGAGAGGUCUUCCAGCCCUUUGAUCAAUUUUGGUGGCCCUCCUCUGCAUCCACUCCAACAGAUCUAAAACCUGAUGUCUCAGACUACAGAAAAAGUUGGGCUGUCUUGCCUAAGAUUACCUUCAUGAUCACAGCAUCAGUGAAUUGACAAGUUUGUGCUGGAACACUUGUUUUGAUUAGUGAAAGUCCUUCAAAGUUGUCAAGUCUACUCUCAUAAAGUACAUCGCACAUUUUACGAUAGGUGGCAAAAUUUUCUGGUACAUCAGGCACAUGAUGGAAAAAUUAGUUGUUUAAACAUUUAAGUGCAAUGUCUAAUCAUAUGAAAAGUUUCUGAAAGUGUCUGUGACAACUUACCACUAUUCUCACUUCCAUCUCCUUGUGCAAAGAGCGAGCGUUAUCACAGUAUUCUCACUUUGGAAGAUAAAGGGUAAGCUCCAGAUCCAUUUAGAAGUACUAAAGUCUCAUUCUCAAAUAUUUAGGCUUUGUAGUUACAACAGCAUUUCCAUAAUACCUUAAAUAAAUUCUCUAUUUGCAGCCCUGAAUGUCAGUUUAGAUUUUCCAUUACCACGGCCUUAUGGAUUAUUAAAUGAUUUGCAAGGAAUAUUUUGUAUUGAAAAAUAUAAAAAUAGUCUAAUUCUUUUAAAUUAACACUGUUAAAAAUUAGUUUUUAACUGAUAUUUGUGAAAUACGUAGUUGGAUGGCACCAACUUAAAGCUAGUUGUUGCUGUCUAUAGUUAUGAUAAAGUAGUCUUUUAGAUAAAUACCUUUUCAAAUACUGUUUUAAACACUUUAAAAAAAACCAUUUAAUAUGAAUUAGUUUAUAUUCCUAAUGCCUUGCUCUAAUGCUACAAUGAGAGCAUGUCAUGUCAAGAUGUUUAGAUUGGGCCAACUUGCUUGUAACUUGUUGCAGUUUUAGAAAGCUGCACAUCAUCUAGGGAAUGCUUUUAACAUGGUUAUUGGUCAGCAGUUUCUAUGAGCAAAUACAGUGAGUCAUGUAUCUUUAUAAUGACUGAAGCAUAAAAGGAUUUAUCAAAUGUGAUUAUGAUGUUUAAUUUAUAAAGAAUAUGAGACUUUCAUAUGUCCAAAAUAUCCUUGUGUCCAAAGCUAUUGGCAAUAAAGAUACCUGUCAGCAUUUUCACCUCCCAAAUUGAGCCUUUAACGACUUACCAAGACUACUGCUUCUGCAUCUCAAACUUCAUAAUUUCUUACUUUUUUGAUUAAGUCCAAACCAUGAGAUAAAAAAUAUAAGCACGUUUAAGUAAAUGUGUGAAACUGUAGUUCCUGGCUGCAGGCAAACGAUAAAUCAACAGUUUCAAGUGUUGCUCUGUUCAGCGUAGCACAGUCGUAUAGUCUAUUAUGUUGGUGUUUUGUGCAUGUAGAUUCAAUGAUAAGCAUAGGAAGAAAUCAAGCAACAGCUACUAUAAAAACCCUACAACUUCCUUAUUAAAUGAGCUAUUCCACUGAAUGUUUCAAAGGACCUUUGAAAGACAAAGCAUAAAUUAAAUUAUUAUAAAAUAAAUGGUUGAAUCUCAAAGGAACCUAUUUCAUAGUCUUUUUUCUCGUUUCCUGUACUGGCACCGUACCCAAUGUGUCUCCCUCCUCUAAUC